GCCUUCUUCACCUCACAUUCAAGUUUUCAUCUGUUGUUGAAUCUCUAAACAAUCUACCCUGAAGAUAUUGGGGCUAAUAAGUCUAGCUGGUGUCUGCAAAUCUACCAGAAAAUAUGGUAUUCUGUUUCAAAAGAAUUAUGUUUCAACCUCCAGCAUGCCCAACUCAAUAUGGAUUCCCGCUAAUGUUUUUUACAAUGUGUUUCAACCUCCAGAAUGCCCUAUUCAAUAUGUUCCAACCUCCAACAUGACUUUUUAGGGAUUAUUCCCAUUUAGUUAGAAUUUG
rnacentral:misc_RNA from 1 species